AACGAACGCUGGCGGCAGGCUUAACACAUGCAAGUCGAGCGCCCCGCAAGGGGAGCGGCAGACGGGUGAGUAACGCGUGGGAACGUACCUUUUGGUUCGGAACAACUCCGGGAAACUGGAGCUAAUACCGGAUAAGCCCUAACGGGGAAAGAUUUAUCGCCGAAAGAUCGGCCCGCGUCUGAUUAGCUAGUUGGUGAGGUAACGGCUCACCAAGGCGACGAUCAGUAGCUGGUCUGAGAGGAUGAUCAGCCACACUGGGACUGAGACACGGCCCAGACUCUUCGGGGAGGCGGCGGUGGGGAAUUUUGAACAAGGGGCCCAGCCCUGACCCCCCCUGGCCGGGUGAGUGUUGAGGCUCUUAGGGUAGUAAAGCUUUUUUGUCCGGCAAGAUAAUGACGGUCCCGAAAGAAUAACCCCCGGCUAACUUCGUG
rnacentral:rRNA from 1 species